rnacentral:rRNA from 1 species
CAACACUGGGACUGAGACACUGCCCAGACUCCUACGGGAGGCUGCAGUCGAGAAUCAUUCGCAAUGGGCGCAAGUCUGACGAUGCGACGCCGUGUGAGCGAUGAAGGCCUUCGGGUUGUAAAGCUCUUUCGCUUGGGAACAAGAGAGGUUGGCUAAUAUUCAGCUGAUUUGAGGGUACCAGGUAAAGAAGCCCGGCUAACUCC